rnacentral:misc_RNA from 1 species
CCGAGUUUUUCUACUCCCAAACCCCUGUGAACUUAUACCUUUACUGUUGCUUCGGCGGGUUAACGCCCCGGAAGGCCCAAAAAGCCGCCGGAACCAGGCGCCCGCCGGGGGACCCAAACUCUUGUAUUUCUUACUUUGCAUGUCUGAGUGGAAUCAUAAACAAAUGAAUCA